GGGACCUACGGGGCGCAGCCGUCGGGCCUCUUUCUCAAUUUAUGACACUCUGACGCAGUGACGCCGCGUGCAGGAAGAAGGUUUUCGGAUUGUAAACUGCUUUAGACAGGGAAGAAAAAAGACAGUACCUGUAGAAUAAGCUCCGGCUAACUACGUGCCAGCAGCCGCGGUAAUACGUAGGGAGCAAGCGUUAUCCGGAUUUAUUGGGUGUAAAGGGUGCGUAGACGGAGAAGCAAGUUAGUUGUGAAAUCCCUCGGCUUAACUGAGGAACUGCAACUAAAACUACUUCCCUUGAGUACUGGAGA
rnacentral:rRNA from 1 species